rnacentral:rRNA from 1 species
AAUGAACGCUGGCGGCGUGGAUUAGGCAUGCAAGUCGUACGAGAAUCGUAGCAAUACGAGGAAAGUGGCGGAAGGGAGAGGAUUACGUGGGAAUCUACCCUCAGAACUGGGAUAGCGGCGGGAAACUGCCGGUAAUACCAGAUAAUGUCUGUGGACCAAAGGUGUGAUUCCGUCUGGGGAUGAGCCCACGUCCUAUUAGCUAGUUGGCAGGGUAAUGGCCUACCAAGGCAAUGAUGGGUAGCGGGUGUGAGAGCAUGACCCGCCUCACUGGGACUGAGAGCUGCCAGACACCUGCGGGUGGCUGCAGUCGAGAAUCUUCGGCAAUGAGCGCAAGCUUGACCGAGCGACGCCGCGUGCGGGAUGAAGGCCUUCGGGUUGUAAACCGCUGUCGUAGGGGAGCAAGAGAUGAGGGUACUCCCUCUGAUUUGAGCGAUCCUAGGAGGAAGGACGGGCUAAGUUCGUGCCAGCAGCCGCCGCGGUAA